GUGUCGGUAAAUCCCCCCGGAUGGAGCGUUGGAACAAUUAGUCAAGAAAGAAUAGACUUUCAUAAUGACUGAUACUAAUACAAACUUCAUUUCAGAGCACUCAGUGUGCCAGUUGUAAACAGGAAUUAUGUGCAGUUAGGAAAUAUCGUUAAAUAAAUAGGUGACAGUGUAAUGUCUGUCUUCUUGAAGAGGGGAAAAAAGUCAGUGUUUACAGUACAUGUCUCUACUAAAUCAGCAAGUGAUCAAACAUUAUCCAGCUGUUCUCAAAAGAACAUCAACAAGCUUUUCAGUGCUAAUACCAAAGGCUUCUUUCCAAGUCUGAGAACAAACAUCGACACACUAAAAACAACAUGUGAAGUACUGUGGAGUGUGUGUCUUCGAUAAAUCAGGUUGAGUCACAUAUCAAACAUUUACUGUGCCACCCACUCUAAAAAGAAAGGCUUAACCGCUAUUCAAUUACAGGUGAAGGGUGAGUGAAACUGCAACAGGCCUCAUUAGUUCAAUCCCAGCAGCGUGGCAGUACAGUGUGUGCUGUGGCUCUGUAUUACAUACACACACACACACACAGUCACCAUUGCACACGUGCAGCCGUGCCCAUAGACGCCUCUGUAACGUCACGGAGCUGUGCGCUGAGGCUAAUGUGUCCUGCUGAAUAAAUAUUGACAAAUCCCUGGAUUAUGAUUCGGCCUGUUCUACUCUCACCCACUUAGGUUUCAGCACCGCGUGCAGUCACACCCGCUCAGUGCCCCCCCCACCUCGGCCUCUGCUUGCACAACUGCGAACAGGCAAAGUUUGCCCCGGCAGCUAUGAGUCAAGACAAAGUGAAACCGCAGAAAUUAGAAACCGUGACAAACAAACAACAGUUUGAACAUGAGUCGGUUUAAACGAUUAGACGCUAACACAAAGUCUUUAAAUCUAGUGAACUGAAAAUACCUAAAUCGAUCACCUUUCUGCCUUCAACACAACUCCACUGACGGGACUGGGCAGUACCUGGUGGAGGUUUGUGAACACUCACAGCGACAAGUCAAAAUGUUUUUACAGGUAUCUGUAGAUGUUGCAGGUAAUGAAGAUGUGAUUCCUCCGGGACUGAAGCAUAAUAACGCUGCCACUGUUCUAGUCUGACAUUAAAUACACAAAGGAAAGAAGAAGAAGUCACAGCACCGACACGAGGAACGACAGCAACAGCUGCUUGCACUGCAGUGUUAUUAGUUAUUUCUUUUUUGAUUAUUUGAAUGUCACAGUUUGUGUAAUUCAUAAAUAAAUUUAGGUUUAAAUACA